rnacentral:lncRNA from 1 species
GUUUGGGAAAAAGGCCCGGACUUUCAGCACGGGGCAGACAUACUUGCUUUGACUUUAUUAAAAGGGAACACAAAUAUGUCUGUAAAUGUAGCCAUCUAGGAAAGGAUCCACUUUUGUUUCCUAAAAAUUAGCAUCCUCCAGUCUAAUAGCAAGUGUUACUCUGUGUUUCGAGCCAGCCCAGAUCUAAUCACUGACAACAAAAUAAUUCCUCUCCCUUGCUCUGCCCAGUAAAUACUCCCAAUAUGUCAUUUCAGUGUCAAACUUCCCAGAGUCAUUACCCUCCCCAGCAUCAGACUCCACGGCGACGUGCAGGGCAGCCCGAGCCAGAGACUCCUGCAGUCAGCAAACAAGCAUGUUUUACAUUAGGCACAUUAAGGGGAACAGCCUAUUGCAAGGAAUAUUAAAUUAAAGCAGCAAGGAGAAGGAUUCGACCCUGGCUGUAUGCAGGGAAACAGAGGAGCAGCCCUGGAUUUACAGUGUGGAGCACUUGUAAUUUCCUCAGUCUAUUUGUGCUCUCUACAUCUACAGACACGCUUGUGUUAAAUAACUCCAGGGACAGAUGGCAAACUCUCUUCUGUGACCUCCUCUGCAUCUCAGGACAGUCUUGUUACGCCAUAAAGUCCUUUACCCCAUGAUUCUAAAAAGGGAAAACCUCUGUGGUCCUACACCAGAGCUCCAAGGAGAGGCACAGCCUCGUUCAAGAAGUGUUUGUAUGUGUUUGUGUUACCUGUCACACCUGCCAGUGCAGCAGCCCAGGGCUGGGAGGUUUCUUGCCUAUGGCACAGCACCAGUCUUGCAAACUUCAUGCUCAGACCCCAAUAAAUCAGCAAACCUGUCCCAUCUCCUCCCCUGGGCAGACUGCAGCUGCACCACAGCCACUCGCCUUUCCAGCUGCGAGCCUUAAACCCACACCCCACUUUGAGACAGCUGAAAUCUUCAAGGCUGCUUCACAAAGGACAGAGAAAAGACACUCCAGCAGGUCAUAUGUCAGUCCUGACCUGGAUACACAUCCUGGGAAGAGGAAAAUCACCUUCUGGCCGUGUGUCCUUCUGCCCCAGGCACACAGUCAGCUCUGAGCUGUUGCUGCAGCUAAAGGCUUAACUGCACCGGGGUAGAUCAGGUAGGAUGAAUUGUGUUGGUGUGACUAAAGGACCUGAUUCUCAUUUUCAGUAUUGAUUUAGGCAGCCCUAGCCAGGUUGUUAGAGCUGUCAGGGACCUAAAAAUACCGAUAAUGAUUUGCAGGCUGUUGCAGUAAGAGAUGCCAGACUGUUACAGUAAGGGAUGCCAGGCAGACUUUGGGCUCAUUAGGCACAUAACUGCUUGCUUGCUUUCAAAGAAGCUUCUUCUCCCAUUGUCCCAAAAGCCUUGCACACAACUCCUGUGGCAGAGUGUUGGUCUAACUUGUCUGAGCAACUCAGGACACAUCAUCCCCAUUCUAGACUCUGAACACUCCCAUGAUAUCAAGAACACGAGAGAAAGAACAAGCCCAGAAGAUACCAAUUAAGACUUCAAUUGGAUAUUAGGAAAAAUUUCUUUACUGAAAGGAUGCUGAAGCACUGGAACAGCCUGUCCAGAGAAUGGUGGAGUAACAGUUCCUGGAAGUUCUGAAAAAGCAUGUAGGUGUGGUUCUAUGGGACAUGGUUUAGUGGUGGCCCUGGCAGUGUUAGGUUAGUGGCUGGACUCAAUGAUCUUAGAGGUCUUUUCCAAUCUUAAUGAUUCCAUUAUUCUCUUUUAAAGCACAUCUUCCCUUCUCUGUUCACAUCUGAGGAACCUCAGGCUUGGCUGGACUCUGUCUCUUGACCUGUCUUCUCCUGUUCAUGUCUGCUCCAGCAGGUGUGCAGAAGAUACACCUCUCCCCACUUUGUGUUCUUCUAAGAAGAAGAAAAUGGGCUCAAUCCAAGAAAAUCAUGGGGAAAGCUGACAAGAAGCUUUCAUGAAGUUCCUCAUGCUCCACAGGAUGAACAGUGGUGUCCUUGGUGGAAAAGAGACAAAAAUUCAGUGGAGGCAGCAAACAAAGCAGCAACUUCAUUAGCAUCAGAGACCACAUGCUCUGAGGCACAUCCUCUGCCUGUCCUUAGCUCUGGGAUCCUGCUGAGAGUGUCUCCUUAGGUCUCCAGUGCUGGCAGACCAACCCAGCACACGUGGUGCAGCAGCAAAGUGUCCCCUCUCUGUCUGUGUCACUGCUGCACCCAAGGCCUGACAGUAGUUUCCUCUGUCAGCAAAAUCACAAGGAAAGGGAAAAAAAUAAUAAAAAGAAAAAAAAAAUUAAGAAAAAAAGCUGCAGGGGGAGCAAGCACAGGAACAAGCUGCAUAAUAAGCUGCAGUGGAAAGCAGGGAGGGUGUCUGUUUAUUCCCUUGAUUUACCCACUGCAUCUCAGAGUUUUCCACUUUGCAGCUCCCAUCCCAAUGUUCGGUGAGUAAAUAA